AACUAUCACCUAUCUUCUCCAUCGUUUCUUCUUUCUUGUAGCCCCAUCCCCAGUCCUCCAUCUGGGCAUCCUGAGACAAAAUUGUAGUGUGGGCAGAGCUUGCCCAUGGCAGGUCCAGGACUCUGUUUGUGCUGCCCUUCAUCUCCCUGCUCCCCUUCAUCUCCCUGCUCCCCAUCCUCAAGGCCCAGGAAAUACCCUCAGUGACUUGUUCUCCAGUGGGUGGUAGAACACAGGCUGAGAUGAACCACCAGCUUCCACUGCAACUUCUGUCCUUUACUACAAAGCCUCCAAAACUACUCUGUGUCAUGGUCUCUCCACAUAUAUUAAGUGAUAAUAAUCCUCACUCAGUCAGUAGGAUGUUUUCAGCAACGAAUAACAGAAAAUUCAAGUCAAAUAUCUUCAACAUUCAGAAUGUUUACUGACUCCCAGACAGGAAGCCCAGGCUAGGGAGGGGUUAAACCAGCACCACAGCUUUCCUUCCCAUGUGAGCCACAUCCUUCAGCUAAUCUGGAGGUGGAGGCAGCAGUCCCCAGCGGAGAGAGACAGGGUUGCCUCUGGGAGGUGUCCUGAAAGAGCAAGGUGAGCAAGAAAUUGCCCAGCUGCCUGGAAAACCUGUUCUUGAAUCUCAGUACCUUGAACUGAGUCACGUGGGGAGUGGGAUCACCUUUAGACCAACUGGACUCACCUGUGGAUCUGGGUCAGGGUCAAGAAGCAAUAGAGCUCUCUGACUCCUAAGGUCUGCUCCAAACCCCCUCAAAGGGUGAUGAAAAUAUCUGGGAAUGGCACCCCACUCCAGUAC
ensembl:lncRNA